rnacentral:rRNA from 1 species
CCUACGAGAGGCAGCAGUGAGGAAUAUUGGUCAAUGUACGGAAGUCUGAACCAGCCAAGCCGCGUGCAGGAAGACGGCUCUAUGAGUUGUAAACUGCUUUUGUACAAGGGUAAACCUGAAUACGUGUAUUCAGCUGAAAGUACUGUACGAAUAAGGAUCGGCUAACUCCGUGCCAGCAGCCGCGGUAAUACGGAGGGUCCAAGCGUUAUCCGGAUUUAUUGGGUUUAAAGGGGGCGUAGGCGGAUUGAUAAGUUAGGGGUUAAAUGUCCGGGCUUAACUCGGGAACUGCCUCUAAUACUGUUGAUCUAGAGAGUAGGUGAGGUAGGCGGAAUGUAUGGUGUAGCGGUGAAAUGCUUAGAGAUCACACAGAACACCGAUUGCGAAGGCAGCUUACCAAUCUAUAUCUGACGUUGAGGCACGAAAGCGUGGGGAGCGAACAGGAUUAGAUACCCGGGUAGUC